UACAGAGGGUGCAAGCGUUGUCCGGAAUUAUUGGGCGUAAAGAGCUCGUAGGCGGUCUGUCGCGUCGGCUGUGAAAACUCGGGGCUCAACCCCGAGCCUGCAGUCGAUCGGGCAGACUAGAGUGCUGUAGGGGAGACUGGAAUUCCUGGUGUAGCGGUGAAAUGCGCAGAUAUCAGGAGGAACACCGGUGGCGAAGGCGGGUCUCUGGGCAGUAACUGACGCUGAGGAGCGAAAGCGUGGGGAGCGAACAGG
rnacentral:rRNA from 1 species